AUUGAACGCUGGCGGCAGGCCUAACACAUGCAAGUCGAGCGGAUGAAGGGAGCUUGCUCCUGGAUUCAGCGGCGGACGGGUGAGUAAUGCCUAGGGAUCUGCCUGGUAGUGGGGGAUAACGUCCGGAAACGGGCGCUACUACCGCAUACGACCUGAGGGUGAAAGUGGGGGAUCUUCGGACCUCACGCUAUCAGAUGAGCCUAGGUCGGAUUAGCUAGUUGGUGGGGUAAAGGCCUACCAAGGCGACGAUCCGUUACUGGUCUGAGAGGAUGAUCAGCCACACUGGAGGUGAGACGCGCACCAGACUACUACGGGAGGGAGCAGUGUGGAAUAUGGGGCAGUAGGCGGGAGCAUGAUCCAGCGGGGCCGAGUGUGUGGAGGAGAUGUUCGGAGCGUGAAGAACUUUAUGUUGGGAGAAACCGCAGUAAGUUGAGACGUUGCUGUUUUGACGGUAACAACAGAAUAAGCACCGGCUAACUUCGUG
rnacentral:rRNA from 1 species